AUUGAACGCUGGCGGCAGGCCUAACACAUGCAAGUCGAGCGGAUGAAGGGAGCUUGCUCCUGGAUUCAGCGGCGGACGGGUGAGUAAUGCCUAGGAAUCUGCCUGGUAGUGGGGGAUAACGUCCGGAAACGGGCGCUAAUACCGCAUACGUCCUGAGGGAGAAAGUGGGGGAUCUUCGGACCUCACGCUAUCAGAUGAGCCUAGGUCGGAUUAGCUAGUUGGUGGGGUAAAGGCCUACCUAGGCGACGAUCCGUAACUGGUCUGAGAGGAUGAUCAGUCACACUAGAACUUGGACACGGUCCAGACUCCUACGGGAGGCAGCAGUGGGGAAUAGUGGACAAUGGGCGAAAGCCUGGUCCAGCCAUGCCGCGUGUGUGAAGAAGGUCUUCGGAGUGUAAAGCACUUUAAGUUGGGAGGAAGGGCAGUAAGUUAAUACCUUGCUGUUUUGACGUUACCAACAGAAUAAGCACCGGCUAACUUCGUG
rnacentral:rRNA from 1 species